CAGGCCGUGGCACGCCGCUCAGCCGUUCCGCGACUGGAGGUCACGGGGUCGCAGGUUCAAAUCCUGUCAGCCCGA
rnacentral:tRNA from 1 species